rnacentral:rRNA from 1 species
UAGGGAAUCUUCCACAAUGGACGCAAGUCUGAUGGAGCAACGCCGCGUGAGUGAAGAAGGUUUUCGGAUCGUAAAGCUCUGUUGUUGGUGAAGAAGGAUAGAGGCAGUAACUGGUCUUUAUUUGACGGUAAUCAACCAGAAAGUCACGGCUAACUACGUGCCAGCAGCCGCGGUAAUACGUAGGUGGCAAGCGUUGUCCGGAUUUAUUGGGCGUAAAGCGAGCGCAGGCGGAAUGAUAAGUCUGAUGUGAAAGCCCACGGCUCAACCGUGGAACUGCAUCGGAAACUGUCAUUCUUUAGUGCAGAAGAGGAGAGUGGAAUUCCAUGUGUAGCGGUGGAAUGCGUAGAUAUAUGGAAGAACACCAGUGGCGAAGGCGGCUCUCUGGUCUGCAACUGACGCUGAGGCUCGAAAGCAUGGGUAGCGAACAGG